CAACUCUCAACAACGGAUAUCUUGGCUCCCGUAUCGAUGAAGAACGCAGCGAAAUGCGAUACGUAGUGUGAAUUGCAGAAUUCCGUGAACCAUCGAAUCUUUGAAUUCAAAUUGCGCCCGAGGCCUCGGCCGAGGGCAUGUCUGCCUCAGUGUCGG
rnacentral:rRNA from 1 species